UAGGGAAUCUUCCGCAAUGGACGCAAGUCUGACGGAGCAACGCCGCGUGAGUGAAGAAGGAUUUCGGUUCGUAAAACUCUGUUGUUAGAGAAGAACGGCGCAUAGAGUAACUGUUAUGCGUGUGACGGUAUCUAACCAGAAAGCCACGGCUAACUACGUGCCAGCAGCCGCGGUAAUACGUAGGUGGCAAGCGUUGUCCGGAUUUAUUGGGCGUAAAGCGAGCGCAGGCGGUCAAUUAAGUCUGAUGUGAAAGCCCCCGGCUCAACCAUUGUAGGCUUUGGAAACUGUUUAACUUGAGUGCAGAAGGGGGGAGUGGAAUUCCAUGUGUAGCGGUGAAAUGCGUAGAUAUAUGGAGGAACACCGGUGGCGAAAGCGGCUCUCUGGUCUGUAACUGACGCUGAGGCUCGAAAGCGUGGGGAGCGAACAGG
rnacentral:rRNA from 1 species